rnacentral:lncRNA from 1 species
CAUGAAAUUCAUGAAAUGCGUGCUCAAUGUAUGUUGUAUGAUUAGUAAGGAAUGGAAAUGAGUAAGCUAUGUUUAUGAUCAUGUUGAAAGGGUACAGGUAUGUACUAAAAAUUCAUGAAGGAUGAGCUCGAUGUAUAUUGGACUUUUGGUAAGAAUGUAAAUGAGUAAGUAAUACCUAUGAGAAUGGCUUUGUGACGACCUUGUAAAUAUUAGGUCGAUACCUAUGGUGUAUAAUUAUGUGGUAAAUUUAAUGGAUGAUUAUGUGUGAGGCUUUUAGUCGAAUUAAAUUGGGACAUGAUAUGUUUAUCCC